rfam:Asian citrus Psyllid, Diaphorina citri - Florida Strain, whole genome shotgun sequence.
UCCGGAAGUUUGAGUUUGUUUUCUGCACUAGUUCCCAAUAGACCACUGAAGUUAAGCAACGCUGCUUGUGGUUGGUAUCAGGAUGGUUCAUCACCUGGGCAAUCGCGUGCUGCUGGCU